UGCCUCAUUCUAGAUGAGAAUGGGCACUGUUGAUCAUCAUGGUGUCCAAAAAUAGUUAAUGUGGCUACAUUGAGACAGGUUAUGCUUCCAUCACAGUAUGCAUAUUGCAGUGGUGACAAUGAGACCUGUAACAUUU
ensembl:snoRNA